GAUGAACGCUGGCGGCGUGCCUAAUACAUGCAAGUCGAGCGAGCGGCGGACGGGUUAGUAAUGUCUGGGAAACUGCCUGCUGGAGGGGGAUAACUACUGGAAACGGUAGCUAAUACCGCAUACCAUCAGAUGUGCCCAGAUGGGCUUAGCUAGUAGGUGGGGUAAUGGCUCACCUAGGCGACGAUCCCUAGCUGGUCUGAGAGGAUGACCAGCCACACUGGAACUGAGACACGGUCCAGACUCCUACGGGAGGCAGAAGUGGGGAAUAUUGCACAAUGGGCGCAAGCCUGAUGAAGCCAUGCCGCGUGUGUGAAGAAGGCCUGCGGGUUGGAAAGAACUUUCAGCGAGGAGGCGUUACUAGCAGAAGAAGCACCGGCGAACUCCGUGCCAGCAGCCGCGGUAAUAC
rnacentral:rRNA from 1 species